GAUGAACGCUGGCGGCGUGCUUAACACAUGCAAGUCGAACGAGAAGUGGAGACGGAAACCUUCGGGCGGAAGACUUUAUUUCGAGUGGCGGACGGGUGAGUAACGCGUGGGUAACCUGCCUCAUACAGGGGGAUAACAGUUGGAAACGACUGUUAAUACCGCAUAAGACCACAGCACCGCAUGGUGCGGGGGUAAAAACUCCGGUGGUAUGAGAUGGACCCGCGUUCGAUUAGCCAGUUGGCGGGGUAACGGCCCACCAAAGCGACGAUCGAUAGCCGAUCUGAGAGGAUGACCGGCCACAUUGGGACUGAGACACGGCCCAAACUCCUACGGGAGGCGGCAGUGGGGAAUAUUGCACAAUGGGGGAAACCCUGAUGCAGCGACGCCGCGUGAGUGAAGAAGUAUUUCGGUAUGUAAAGCUCUAUCAGCAGGGAAGAAAAUGACGGUACCUGAGGAAGAAGCCCCGGCUAACUACGUG
rnacentral:rRNA from 1 species